GCAAGCGUUGUUCGGAAUUACUGGGCGUAAAGGGCGCGUAGGCGGCCUGCUAAGUCGAACGUGAAAUCCCCGAGCUCAACUCGGGAACUGCGUCCGAUACUGGCAGGCUUGAAUCCGGGAGAGGGAUGCGGAAUUCCAGGUGUAGCGGUGAAAUGCGUAGAUAUCUGGAGGAACACCGGUGGCGAAGGCGGCAUCCUGGACCAACACUGACACUGAGGAGCGAAAGCCAGGGGAGCAAACGGG
rnacentral:rRNA from 1 species